rnacentral:rRNA from 1 species
GUGGGGAAUCUUGCGCAAUGGGCGAAAGCCUGACGCAGCCAUGCCGCGUGAAUGAUGAAGGUCUUAGGAUUGUAAAAUUCUUUCACCGGGGACGAUAAUGACGGUACCCGGAGAAGAAGCUCCGGCUAACUUCGUGCCAGCAGCCGCGGUAAUACGAAGGGGGCUAGCGUUGCUCGGAAUUACUGGGCGUAAAGGGCGCGUAGGCGGACAGCUUAGUCAGAGGUGAAAGCCCAGGGCUCAACCUUGGAAUUGCCUUUGAUACUGGCUGUCUUGAGUUUGGGAGAGGUGAGUGGAACUCCGAGUGUAGAGGUGAAAUUCGUAGAUAUUCGGAAGAACACCAGUGGCGAAGGCGACUCACUGGCCCGUUACUGACGCUGAGGCGCGAAAGCGUGGGGAGCAAACAGGAUUAGAAACCCCGGUAGUCC